rnacentral:rRNA from 1 species
GCCAGACUCCUACGGGAGGCAGCAGUGAGGAAUAUUGGUCAAUGGCCGUAAGGCUGAACCAGCCAAGUAGCGUGAGGGAAGACUGCCCUAUGGGUUGUAAACCUCUUUUAUGCGGGGAUAAAGGUGUCCACGUGUGGAUGUUUGCAGGUACCGCAUGAAUAAGGACCGGCUAAUUCCGUGCCAGCAGCCGCGGUAAUACGGAAGGUCCGGGCGUUAUCCGGAUUUAUUGGGUUUAAAGGGUGCGUAGGCGGACUUUUAAGUCAGCGGUAAAAGCCCGGGGCUCACCCCCGGCGAGCCGUUGAAACUGGCUGUCUUGAGAUGUCGAGAGGUAUGCGGAAUGCGCAGUGUAGCGGUGAAAUGCUUAGAUAUUGCGCAGAACUCCGAUUGCGAAGGCAGCAUACCGGCGGCGAUCUGACGCUGAGGCACGAAAGCGUGGGUAUCGAACAGGAUUAGAUACCCCCGUACG